rnacentral:rRNA from 1 species
CCCCGGGAAACUGGGGAUAAUUCCGGAUAACGCACAUAUGCUGGAAUGCUUUUUGAGUAAAAUGGAUUCGUCUGCCCAAGGAUGGGUCUGCGGCCUAUCAGGUAGUAGUGGGUGUAAUGUACCUACUAGCCUACGACGGGUACGGGUUGUGAGAGCAAGAGCCCGGAGAUGGAUUCUGAGACAUGAAUCCAGGCCCUACGGGGCGCGGCAGGCGCGAAAACUUUACAAUGCGGGAAACCGUGAUAAGGGGACACCGAGUGCCAGCAUCCUAUGCUGGCUGUCCGGGUGUGUAAAAUACACCUGUUAGCAAGGGCCGGGCAAGACCGGUGCCAGCCGCCGCGGUAACACCGGCGGCCCGAGUGGUGAUCGUGAUUAUUGGGUCUAAAGGGUCCGUAGCCGGUUUGGUCAGUCCUCCGGGAAAUCUGACAGCUCAACUGUUAGGCUUUCGGAGGAUACUGCCAGACUUGGAACCGGGAGAGGUAAGAGGUACUACAGGGGUAGGAGUGAAAUCUUGUAAUCCCUGUGGGACCACCUGUGGCGAAGGCGUCUUACCAGAACGGGUUCGACGGUGAGGGACGAAAGCUGGGGGCACGAACCGGAUUAGAUACCCGGGUAGUCCCAGCCGUAAACGAUGCUCGCUAGGUGUCAGGCAUGGCGCGACCGUGUCUGG